AUACAGAGGGUGCGAGCGUUAAUCGGAAUUACUGGGCGUAAAGCGCGCGUAGGCGGCUUAUUAAGUCAGAUGUGAAAUCCCCGGGCUCAACCUGGGAACUGCAUCUGAUACUGGUAAGCUAGAGUUUGGGAGAGGGAAGUAGAAUUUCAGGUGUAGCGGUGAAAUGCAUAGAGAUCUGAAGGAAUACCAGUGGCGAAGGCGACUUCCUGGCCUAAAACUGACGCUGAGGUGCGAAAGCGUGGGUAGCAAACGGGAGUAGAAACCCCAGUAGUCC
rnacentral:rRNA from 1 species